rnacentral:rRNA from 1 species
GAUGAACGCUGGCGGCGUGCCUAAUACAUGCAAGUCGAGCGAACAGACGAGGAGCUUGCUCCUCUGACGUUAGCGGCGGACGGGUGAGUAACACGUGGAUAACCUACCUAUAAGACUGGGAUAACUUCGGGAAACCGGAGCUAAUACCGGAUAAUAUAUUGAACCGCAUGGUUCAAUAGUGAAAGACGGUUUUGCUGUCACUUAUAGAUGGAUCCGCGCCGCAUUAGCUAGUUGGUAGGGUAACGGCUUACCAAGGCAACGAUGCGUAGCCGACCUGAGAGGGUGAUCGGCCACACUGGAACUGAGACACGGUCCAGACUCCUACGGGAGGCAGCAGUAGGGAAUCUUCCGCAAUGGGCGAAAGCCUGACGGAGCAACGCCGCGUGAGUGAUGAAGGUCUUCGGAUCGUAAAACUCUGUUAUUAGGGAAGAACAAAUGUGUAAGUAACUAUGCACGCCUUGACGGUACCUAAUCAGAAAGCCACGGCUAACUACGUG